rnacentral:rRNA from 1 species
AGUGAACGCUGGCGGUAGGCCUAACACAUGCAAGUCGAACGGCAGCACAGUAAGAGCUUGCUCUUACGGGUGGCGAGUGGCGGACGGGUGAGGAAUACAUCGGACUCUACUUUUUCGUGGGGGAUAACGUAGGGAAACUUACGCUAAUACCGCAUACGACCUACGGGUGAAAGCAGGGGAUCUUCGGACCUUGCGCGAUUGAAUGAGCCGAUGUCGGAUUAGCUAGUUGGCGGGGUAAAGGCCCACCAAGGCGACGAUCCGUAGCUGGUCUGAGAGGAUGGUCGCCCACACUAGAACUGGGACAGCGACCAGACUCCUACGGGAGGCACCAGAGGGGAAUAUUGGGCAAUGGGGGGAAACCUUGUCCAACCAUAGCGCGUGGGUGGAAGAAGCCUUCGGGUUGGGAAGACCUUUUGUUGGGAAAAAAAAGCAGCAGGCUAAUACCCCGCUGUUCUGACGGUACCCAAAGAAUAAGCACCGGCUAACUUCGUG